rnacentral:rRNA from 1 species
AUUGAACGCUGGCGGCAGGCUUAACACAUGCAAGUCGAACGAGUGUCGGACGGUUUAGUAAUGCUUGGUAAUCUGUCUUAUGGAGGGUGAUAACUACGGGAAACUGUCGCUAAUCCCUCUUCCCAUAGGUUGAGCCCAAUUGGGAUUAGGUAGUUGGGGGGGUAAAUGCCUACCAAGCCUGCGAUCUCUAGCUGGUCUGAGAGGAUGACCAGCCACACUGGAACUGAGACACGGUCCAGACUCCUACGGGAGGCGGCAGUGGGGAAUAUUGCGCAAUGGGGGGAACCUGACGCAGCCAUGCCGCGUGAAUGAAGAAGGCCUUCGGGUUGUAAAGUUCUUUCGGUAUUGAGGCGUUAAAUACAGAAGAAGCAACGGCUAACUCCGUGCCAGCAGCCGCGGUAAUUG